UGCCAGCCGCCGCGGUAAUACGAAGGGGGCUAGCGUUGUUCGGAAUCACUGGGCGUAAAGCGCACGUAGGCUGACUGGUCAGUUGGGGGUGAAAUCCCGGGGCUCAACCUCGGAACUGCCUUCAAUACUGCCAGUCUUGAGUCCGAGAGAGGUGAGUGGAAUUCCUAGUGUAGAGGUGAAAUUCGUAGAUAUUAGGAAGAACACCAGUGGCGAAGGCGGCUCACUGGCUCGGUACUGACGCUGAGGUGCGAAAGCGUGGGGAGCAAACAGGAUUAGAUA
rnacentral:rRNA from 1 species